rnacentral:rRNA from 1 species
AUUGAACGCUGGCGGCAGGCCUAACACAUGCAAGUCGAACGAGUGGCGCACGGGUGAGUAAUGUCUGGGAAACUGCCUGAGGGAGGGGGAUCACUACUGGAAACGGUAGCUAAUACCGCAUACCAUCGGAUGUCCCCAGAUGGGAAUAGCUAGUAGGUGGGGUAAAGGCUCACCUAGGCGACGAUCCCUAGCUGGUCUGAGAGGAUGACCAGCCACACUGGGACUGAGACACGGUCCAGACUCCUACGGGAGGCAGCAGUGGGGAAUAUUGCACAAUGGGCGCAAGCCUGAUGCAGCCAUGCCGCGUGUAUGAAGAAGGCCUGCGGGUUGUAAAGUACUUUCAGCGGGGAGGCGUUACCCGCAGAAGAAGCACCGGCUAACUCCGUGCCAGCAGCCGCGGUAAUUC